CCUCCCAAAUAAGUUUACUUUCCCUGCCUAUGUAUUAGUAAUUCUUUAAUCCUUUAUGCUUCAAAUGUUUACACAACAUAAUUUAAAUCUGCUAGCUUCUCCGCACUGGUGAGGUGACAGCUGAACAUGUAUUUUCCUCAAAAGCUGCCGGGUGACACCCAGGAGAGCUCUAGGAGUGGAUGGGAGAGCAACUGCCCUGUGGAACAUCACUCGGUGACUGCAACUUCUGUGUUAACAUCACUUAAAUCCCACUCAUACAAUCAUUAAGGUUGGAAGAGACCUCCAAGAUCAUCUUGUCCAACUGUCAACCCACCACCACCAUGCCCACCACUCCAUGUCUCUAAGUACUACAUCUACACAUUUCUUGGACACCCCAAGGGAUGGUGACUCAACCACCUCCCUGGGCAGCCCAUUCCUGCACCUGACCACUCUUCUGGAGAAGCAAUUUUUCAUAAUAUCCAACCCGAACUUCCCCUGGUGAAACUUGAGGCCAUUCCCUCUUAUCCUAUUGCUGUUACCAGGGAAAAGCAGCCGACCCCCACCUCGCCACAACCUUCCUUUAGGUAGUUGUGGAGAGCUAUAAGCUCUCCCCUGAGCCUCCUCUUCUCCAGAUUAAAUAACCCAGUUCUCUCAGAUGCUCCCCACGAGACUUGUGCUCCAGACACCUCACAGCUUCGUUGUCUUUCUCUGGACACGCCCCAGGGCCUCAGUGGAGUCUUGCAGUGAGGGGCCCAAAACUGAACACAGUUCACUCGAACAGUACAGAACACAGUACUCACCAGUACUCACAGUACAAACCAGGAUGCCAUCAGCCUUCUUGGUCAUUCCCAGUAAAGCACCUCCAUGUUUAGCAGUUCUGAAUUUGUGCAGUUUAUUUGUUUAAAACCUGCCCUCUUCCUUUUUUUUUUUCUUUUUUUUUUCCCCUCCUCUCAAUAAACUUGCAGGGCCAAACGUGUGCUUUCAAGGAACAUGCUGUAGGAACAGAUUUACCCUCCCUGUGUUGAUGGAGUUACUUCAGAAAGGCUGGCUGAUUAAGGUGCUGCUUUUAUCUGCUGCGGUCACUGGAAAUAACUGGAGCCAGCUCACCCUUCAGUCAGGAGCCUGCCUGCCCUGCCUGCAGCAGUUACAAUCAACUUUUCCUUUUUGGCCUGUGAAAUCUAAGAAGUUAUUCAGUACAAACUGGAAGAGCCAGAAGGGAGCCCAUCUUCCCACAUGCAGGGCCCUGCUGUGCAGCUGUUGGCUACCCAGUGACACAGCCUACCACAAGGCCACACCAUGACGGAAACUGAAAGGCCAUUCAUCCUUCCCCUCCAGGAGAGCUUCUAUUGCAGUCCUGACUGAAAUUUCUUUGAAUCAUUGGAUGGCUUGGGUUAGAAAGAACCUUAAAGCUGUGAUCAUCUUUGUGGCCCUCCUCUGGACCUGCUCCAACUACUCCAUGUCCUUUUUUGUGUUGGGGUCCCCAGAACUGGACGCAGUACUCCAGGUGGGGUCUCAUGAGAGCAGAGUAGAGGGGCAGAAUCCCCUCUCUUGACCUGCUGGUCACAUUUCUCUUGAUGCAAGCCAGGAUAUGGUUGGCCUUCUGGGCUGCAAGUGCACACUGCCAGCUCAUGUUGAAUCUUUCAUCAAUCGACACUCCCAAAUCCUUCUCAGGACUGCUCUCAAGCCAUUCUCUGCACAAACUGUAUCUGUGCUUGGGAUUGCCCUGACCCAUAUGCAGGACCUUGCACUUGGCUUGUUGAACUUUCAUGAGGUUGGCAUUGGUCCAUCUCUCAAGCCUGUCCAGGUCCCCCUGGAUAGAAUCCCUUCCCUCUACUGUGUCAUCUGCACCACUCAGCUUGGUGCCAUCUGCAAACUUGCUGAAGGUGCACUCAAUCCCACUGUCCAUGUUGCCUACAAAGAUGUUAAAUAACAUCGAUCCCUGCAGAAUGCCACUCAUCACUGGUUUCCACUUGGACACUGAGCUGUUGAUCACAACUCUCUGAGUGCAACCAUCCAACCAAUUCCUUAUCCAGAGAGUAGUCCAUCCAUCAAAUCCAUUUUUCUCCAAUUUGACAACAGGAUGCCAUGUGGGACAGUGUCAAAUGCUUUGCACAAGUCCAGGUAGAUGAUAUGAGUUGCUCUUUCUUUAUCACUGAUGCUGUAACUCCAUCAUAAGAGGCCACCACGUUUGUCAGGAGUGACUUGUCCUUGGUGAAGCCAUGUUGGUUACCAUCGAUUACCUCAUCUUUAUUUUCCAUCUGCCUUAGUAGAGCAUACAGGAGGAUCUGUUCCAUGAUCUUGUCAGGCACAGAGGUGAGACUAAUUGUCCUGUGGUUCCUUGGAUCUUCUUUUUUUCCCUUCUUGAAAAUGGAGGUUGGGGUUCCCCUUUUCCAAUCAGUGGGAACUUCACCAGACUGCCACGUCCUUUCAGGUAGCGGCUUGGCAACUUCAUUCACCAGUUCCCUCAGAUCCCAGGGAAAGAUCUCGUCAGGUGCCAUGGACUUGUGCACCUUCAGAUGGUCUCGAGCCUGAUCUUCACUUACAGCAGGCAGAUCUACCUUUUCCAAGUUCUUACCAUUGCUUUCUGCAACUUGGGCUUUGUGGCUAGAGCCCUUGUCAGUGAAGACUGAGGCAAGGAAGUCACUGAACACCUCAGAUUUCUCCAUAUCUCUUGUGACCAGAUCUCCAGUUUCCUACCGGAGAGGGUCCACAUCCUCCCAGACAUUCUAUUUAUCACUGAUAUACCUGUAGAAUUUCUUCUUGGUCCCCUCGCUGUCCCUGGCUAGAUUUAAUUCUGUCUGGGUUUUAGCUUUUUCCCUGCCUGCUCUGACAACGUUGCAGUCCUCCCAGGCAACCUGUUCCUGCUUCCACUCCCUAUAGACUUUAAGUAAGUCCAAGAGCUCCUUGUUGAUCCACAGAGGCCUCCUGGCGUUCUUGCCUGCCUUCCUUUUUCUCAGGAUGCAAUGCUUCUGGGCUAGGAGGAGAUGGUUCUUGAAUAUUGACCAGCUUUCUUGGGCCUCUCUUCCCUCCAGGGCUUUCUCCCAUGUCACUCUGCCAAGCAGUUCCCUGAAGAGUUCCAAGUCUGCUCUCCUGAAGCCCAGAGUAGCAAGCUUGCUAUGCACCCUCUCUGACACCCUGAGGAUUUUGAACUCCACCAUUUUGUGGUCACUGUAGCCAUAUAUAUUAAAAAAAAAGGUUAUGACAGCUUUCUCUUUUAUUAUUAUUAUUAUUAGCUAUUGAAAGGAUCAUUUGGGGCUUCUUAAAAAUCUGCAGUUACUGUUUUGAAGCUGGAGUCUAAGCUAGCUUCUUAGUAAACAGAAAAAACAAAUGGCUUCAGUAAAUAUGUAGUUUUAUAAGCUGAAGUGUGGCUUUGCUAACAGGACAUGGGUAUCUUGGAGAAAGAAAUGUAGGCUUGUUGGUGCUAAAAUUGCGUCUGUAUAAAACAAACAGGCCCUUAAAUGGCUUUAUCCAGAGGGGGGGGAAAUAGAUUAAUUUAAGCAUAAUUAUAGGUUUGCUGUUACUUGGCUUUUAUUUCUAGUAAUAAUAACCAGCAUUAUGUAGCCUGCCAGCAGAGUGCAUUUCUGGACAGCAGCACUAGCUCUUUGGGGAAGAAGGGGGAUGUAAAGGGAAAAUAAACAGCAAAACUGAAGAAGAGCCAAGCUCCUCUGCCCUAUCACAGCCACUUCUUUGCUUGGGUAAUUCCUACGACUCACUUCUGGGCAGGAAUCCUAUGAAUUCCUGCACAAACAAUAAAGCCAAGGGGGCUGAGCCACGUGCACAGCACAACGGGGUCCCUCUGGGUCAGCUGCUCCCAGCUCACGCCCGCCGCCCACCUGUGUCCUGGGAGCUGUAGACAGGGACCAAAGUCCCACUGUGUGCUGUGGGACAAGGACGGAACCAGCUGGAAGUGGCCAGCUCAGCAGUGCCAGCUGCCUCGCUACUCGUAUGGGCUCCAGAAAUCCCAUACACCUGUAACACUGGCCAUACGUGGCAGUUCUCAAGUUAAGCCACGUGAAAUGCGCAACCGAGGUGACUUGUCACAAGCCUGUUGUCAGCUCCCCGCAGUGCUGGCUGGUCUGUAAGCCACAGAGGGAGCUCGUUUCCUGUCUGGCUCCAUGCCUGCUCCUUAGUCACCCACAUUAAGCUCAGAACAGGAAUAAUUAUGUGUAUCAUCCAGACCCCAGCGGUGCCUGAAAACACGCCUCCUGGGGCUUGUGCCGGGAGGUGUGGAAGAUGCCAGCAAUGAAAGCCUUCACCCCUCACACAUCUGCCUCCCACCUCUGUUGCAACAUCAGCCGACGUUGUACUGUGCUCCAAUAGGGUGUGCUCCACAGGGACAUGGCUGGGGAAGCUGAUGUGCCUGAGUCUGUGGCUCACAACCGAGCACCCAGGGAGACAGCACUCCUUGCCAACAUACAGAGGCUUCAGCGUGCCAAGAGGUGAAAGAGUUGCAGCUUCUGGCUUUCAAGCUACAAUGUUUACCACCACUGGGUCCCCCUGUACAGAGGCAAGGCCUGGGCUGCACAUUUGGUCAUUAAAUGAUGGCAACGAGGGAGGCAGAAAGCCUGUGAUGGGAAGCCCCAUCUGUCAUCUGUCUCCUUCCUCAGACUUGCAGGGUUAAGCCUAUACUGUAGUUUAAAAGACAACAAAGAUGAAAACAUCAGGGUUGGUUUUGUUUUUUUCCUAAAGCACCACCCUGUGGUAAAAGCAACAAAAGAUGAAGAAUCAAUUUUUUUUUUUUUUUCCCCAGCCCAUUUUGUGAUAGCAAUUUCAGUGCAGUCUCCCACAGCCCUGAUGUCAGUCACCACUAACUUUCAGCCCAAGAGAGGAAAGACACGUUCUGUUUCUCACCAGCCCUGUAAAGUCACGACAAUAACUGCUCUGCAAGCAUUUGGAAGGCCUCUGCACAGCACAGAGUUCAGGAGAAAUCACAGACAGCACCUACCCAGCGGAGAGAGCAGCUCCUAGCAGACAGCAGAUUCCUGCUACCAUCGCUAAGCUGCUGGUCUGGAGAUGCACACCGUUGAGCAGCAGAGCACAGCCGGGAGGUGGAGAUAUCAGAG
ensembl:lncRNA